UACGUAGGGGGCAAGCGUUGUCCGGAUUUAUUGGGCGUAAAGAGCGUGUAGGCGGCCAGACAGGUCAGCUGUGAAAACUCGAGGCUCAACCUCGAGACGUCGGUUGAAACCGUCUGGCUAGAGUCCGGAAGAGGAGAGUGGAAUUCCCGGUGUAGCGGUGAAAUGCGCAGAUAUCGGGAAGAACACCCGUGGCGAAGGCGGUUCUCUGGGACGGUACUGACGCUGAGACGCGAAAGCGUGGGGAGCGAACAGG
rnacentral:rRNA from 1 species